GCUGCUGUAGCUCAGUGGCUAGAGCGUUGGUCUCGUAAACCAAAGUCGCGAGUUCGAAUCUCGUUGGCGGCA
rnacentral:tRNA from 1 species